UUCCUAACACAGGGACAUCCCAAAAAUAUUCAUCAAAGACAAGGUUAAGCAACAACAUGGUUCCCAGCCAUUAUGCAUACUCAAAAGAAGCAAAUAGAAAAUAAAGAUUAAUAAUACAGAGAUAACUUGGAACCUGGUAAAAUAUUUCCACUCCUAUCUGUCAGAUCGCGUCUGUUGUGAUCAGCAGGAAAAAGGCGAGUAUGAUGCCUUUUCUGUACCACAACAAAUGUAACUGGUGGCGCAUAUCCCUCCUCAAGUGAGGCACAGGCCUGGAAUUAAGUCAAUUUAGCAUGUUGCAACAAAAGUCAUCAACAAGAAAUUAACUGAAACUAGAUAUUGAAAAUCUCUAGAACACAAGAAAAUUGUAUUAUAUUCAGAACUCCUCAGCAUUACCUGCCGGAUAGCAUUCAUUUCAUGGAGUAAAACCUGACUGAACUGCCCUUCACUAACACCAUCUCUGGCACAUAAAUUAAACAACAUCAGUAACAUUCUACAAAACAUGCAGUUUACCGUUGAAAACAGCCAUUACCGGUAGAAAAUAAUCCUGUGAGGUUUGAAGUUGGUUGAUCUUCUGAAGGCAAUUAACAGUUCCCUGUAAAAGACAAACAGAAGCAUAAGGUUCUCUUAAUUAAGGCAUAUGAAAUAUAUUUCCAUGUCUACUAACCUGAUCAUUCCUCCAUGAACUAAACCCCUCUGAGGAUCUUGAGUAGAUUUAUAGAGAUCUUGGAUAAUUUCCUCAUGAUGUGCCUGAGCAGAGACAAGUCCUCUGUACUUGGUUACUUCUGGCCAAUCCAUUGAUGCCACCACCUGUCUCAGUCAAUUCAAUCUUUUAACUGAGCGAAUUACAAGAAAGCAGAAACAAAAGAUGAGUGGUACAUACAGCCGCUAUAGAAGGGCUAGAGUCUUCUCCUGGCUGUGGAUGGGUGACAUCUGCACCAAAUAUAAUUGUUGGUCUAUCAGUCACAAGAGGAAUUCUUUUCUGAACAGCAUCAACGAGCACAGUGUUUCGUCCUCNNNNNNNNNNNNNNNNNNNNNNNNNNNNNNNNNNNNNNNNNNNNNNNNNNNNNNNNNNNNNNNNNNNNNNNNNNNNNNNNNNNNNNNNNNNNNNNNNNNNNNNNNNNNNNNNNNNNNNNNNNNNNNNNNNNNNNNNNNNNNNNNNNNNNNNNNNNNNNNNNNNNNNNNNNNNNNNNNNNNNNNNNNNNNNNNNNNNNNNNNNNNNNNNNNNNNNNNNNNNNNNNNNNNNNNNNNNNNNNNNNNNNNNNNNNNNNNNNNNNNNNNNNNNNNNNNNNNNNNNNNNNNNNNNNNNNNNNNNNNNNNNNNNNNNNNNNNNNNNNNNNNNNNNNNNNNNNNNNNNNNNNNNNNNNNNNNNNNNNNNNNNNNNNNNNNNNNNNNNNNNNNNNNNNNNNNNNNNNNNNNNNNNNNNNNNNNNNNNNNNNNNNNNNNNNNNNNNNNNNNNNNNNNNNNNNNNNNNNNNNNNNNNNNNNNNNNNNNNNNNNNNNNNNNNNNNNNNNNNNNNNNNNNNNNNNNNNNNNNNNNNNNNNNNNNNNNNNNNNNNNNNNNNNNNNNNNNNNNNNNNNNNNNNNNNNNNNNNNNNNNNNNNNNNNNNNNNNNNNNNNNNNNNNNNNNNNNNNNNNNNNNNNNNNNNNNNNNNNNNNNNNNNNNNNNNNNNNNNNNNNNNNNNNNNNNNNNNNNNNNNNNNNNNNNNNNNNNNNNNNNNNNNNNNNNNNNNNNNNNNNNNNNNNNNNNNNNNNNNNNNNNNNNNNNNNNNNNNNNNNNNNNNNNNNNNNNNNNNNNNNNNNNNNNNNNNNNNNNNNNNNNNNNNNNNNNNNNNNNNNNNNNNNNNNNNNNNNNNNNNNNNNNNNNNNNNNNNNNNNNNNNNNNNNNNNNNNNNNNNNNNNNNNNNNNNNNNNNNNNNNNNNNNNNNNNNNNNNNNNNNNNNNNNNNNNNNNNNNNNNNNNNNNNNNNNNNNNNNNNNNNNNNNNNNNNNNNNNNNNNNNNNNNNNNNNNNNNNNNNNNNNNNNNNNNNNNNNNNNNNNNNNNNNNNNNNNNNNNNNNNNNNNNNNNNNNNNNNNNNNNNNNNNUAAUCAUGUUCCAUUGCCCAAAACCAGGAUUCACGCUUGCUUCUCGGCCAGUUUCAUGAUAUUUAAGCUGCAGCAUUACAGGAGGUAAAGUUAACCAUAAGGAGAUUGGAAAUACCAUAAUCCUGUUACAAAUACAACAAAAUGACACAUAAUUACCAUUGGAGCAGGUAGGAUUCGAGCAUCAACCGAUGUAAGACCAUCAGCCACUUGAAUUCCAAACUCUUUGUUCACAAGAGUAUCUUCAUUGUAAGCAUUUGUCCUAGCCAUCUGCAGAAGAAUGUCACACCCAGUAGCAAGAAUCAGAAACUCUCUUUAUUCACAAGUAGAUAAAUCCAAGAUUAAUCAUCCAAAAAGGUCCACCACAGACGUAAGAAAUUACAACAAUGCUCUACCAUCCGUAUAUUUGCUUCACGAUCCCGAGGACGCUGACAGGUAGCUCUUAAAAGAGCAGUUACUUGUCUUUCAUUUAAUCUUUUAGUAUAUCUCUGUCCCGCGGCAAUCCUAGAAAGCUGUAAAGGAAAAUAUUUUAUAAAUAAGUCUUAAAUAAAUUAUUUUCCAAACACAAAAUAUCAAAGUAAUUCUUUGAUCAUAGAACCUCCAUUGGCAAAUAAAUAGGCCUCGCUUCACUUCCAGCUAGAAGGGCAGGCAAUGACGUGAAUUGAAGCCCAAUAUUAUAUCUUUGACGAAAAUAUUGAACCACUGACAACCUUGUCGCAUUGUCAUCAGUAAACCUAACAAAUACAAUCAAAGGGAAGAUAAGCCAUGAAUGCCUGCUAUAACAUGGAGGGAGGGAUAAAUCACUGUUACAGGCAAUAACAAGUCACCAUCGCACUACAUAGAAGCCAACUACUAUCACAAAUCAUAUUUGAGAAAUUGAUUUGACGCACAGCCGCUAAACCGUUUACCACCAAGUCAGUUCAUGAAUCGUACAUACAAUACAACACAAAAGACAAAUUUAACCAUAUGUGGAUUUCAGAUGACGACAAAAGCAGGCAUCGUAAAGUAUGCUUCUGGAAUGGCGUGGGGGACUCAAGAAUCAGCUAACAUAAACAAAUCGACCAACAUAAACACAACCAAACCACCAAGUUACGUUAUCACACUGUAUCACCACAAGUUGGACAAUGUUCUUACACUUGUAUAUCAGUUAAUUACACACACACACAUACAUUAGUUGGCUCAUCGGUUGACUGGAUAUUCCGGUGAUCUUGUAACUUUUGUUAUACUCCAUAUGCGUGAGCACUACCUUUAUUCCCUUCAAUGCCUUUUUCACCUAGAAGUCAAGAAUUAAACAAUUAUAUUAAUAUCAUUGAGCACGUGUCUCUUUCCCAUUCCCAGCAAUAAUUUUGAAAAUAAUUAAAGGGCGGUUGUCAAAUAGUGGCCAAAAUAGAUUGACACUAAAAAUUUUACAGAUAGUUCAAAAGAUUGAUAAUAUACUUAACGGAAUGAUAAUAAGUUGAUUAAGAUAACUGCACAAUUGCAAAUGAAUGCGCAGAAGAUUUUUAAAACCGCCAUUUCAAGAUCUCAUUUCUUUAUCAUCAGAAUUAUAGGCCAAAUUAUACACCAGUUUCCUACAUCGAUCAUCAAACCCUGUCAUCAACAUUCUAUUCCCCUUAAGACUUGGGAGCUCAUUCUAUUUAGAUUUCAACGGCCAAGAACAACAGACACUACUCACUACCCACCAGUUCAGCCACAAAUUAAGAAAUUACCCUAUCCAAAAUUUGCAAGAAAUUUUAAAUUUUAAACUACUAGUUACUUGCAAUAAAUUAUACACAGCAUCUAAGACGUUACUGAACUUUUUGCCUAACAAAUCUGUGAUCAUUCUUUGAAAAGGCUCUUAUCACAAAUAUAUUACGGUGCUGCAGCCCUCAAUUAAAACUUUUAACCGCCCAACAUAUAGCUCAUUAAAUUGAUACUAAAUUAAUUAUAACCAAGACAUCACGAAAGAAGACUAGACAAUACCUUCAGACGCACUUGAUCAGAAAGAGGACGUGACAAGUCUCUGCAAUAAUACUGAACAAACUCAGUAGCUAGAAUUGGCUCAUAAAAGGAGCGGGCUGAAACAUCUGCAACAGAAAAAGCAAAUAUUUAUGUAGCAACGUUGCACCUAAAAAGGAAAAUCAAGUUUGCAUAAUAUAAAAGAUAAGCAGCAUCAAAUUAUAUAUAAUAUAAUGAGAAAUACCAAUAUUAAGAGAUAGCCCCAUCUGGGUUGGGCGAAGACUCUGAAAAUAUCCACGCCAAUAUUCAACGCCAUCACCAAGCUGACCCAUUGGUCCAAGAUCAGUUGAGAAAAAUGACCUCCCCACAACAGUAUGCCUGAUGCAGAAGUUCCUCAUUUCAUUAAUUAAUCAUUCUAAAAACCAAAUUGUUCGAGACGCAAAAUAGAAAAUAAUAAAAUUGUCCCUCAGAAAUCAAAUAUUAAAUCAGUUGCAUGAACAAGCAAAUGCCGGCAUGGGCAGGCAACAUCCUAUAUCAUACAAACCAAAAAGUGAAACUUUUAUUAACACGGUUAAGGUUAAAUACUUCUCUGACACUACUCACUACCCACCAGUUCAGCCACAAAUUAAGAAAUUACCCUAUCCAAAAUUUGCAAGAAAUUUGAAAUUUUAAACUGCUAAUUACUUGCAAUUAAUUAUACACAGCAUCUAAAACAUUACUUAACUGUUUUCCUAACAAAUCUGUGAUCAUUCUUUGAAAAGGCUCUUAUCACAAAUAUAUUACGGUGCUGCAGCCCUCAAUUAAAACUUUUAACCGCCCAACAUAUAGCUCAUUAAAUUGAUACUAAAUUAAUUAUAACCAAGACAUCACGAAAGAAGACUAGACAAUACCUUCAGACGCACUUGAUCAGAAAGAGGACGUGACAAGUCUCUGCAAUAAUACUGAACAAACUCAGUAGCUAGAAUUGGCUCAUAAAAGGAGCGGGCUGAAACAUCUGCAACAGAAAAAGCAAAUAUUUAUGUAGCAACGUUGCACCUAAAAAGGAAAAUCAAGUUUGCAUAAUAUAAAAGAUAAGCAGCAUCAAAUUAUAUAUAAUAUAAUGAGAAAUACCAAUAUUAAGAGAUAGCCCCAUCUGGGUUGGGCGAAGACUCUGAAAAUAUCCACGCCAAUAUUCAACGCCAUCACCAAGCUGACCCAUUGGUCCAAGAUCAGUUGAGAAAAAUGACCUCCCCACAACUGUAUGCCUGAUGCAGAAGUUCAUCAUUUCAUUAAUUAACCAUUCUAAAACCCAAAUUGUUCAAGAUACAAAGUAGACAAUAAUAAAAUUGUUCCUCAGAAAUCAUAUGCUAAAUCAGUUGCAUGAACAAGCAAAUGCUGGCAUGGGCAUGGAAAAUCCUAUAUCAUACGUACCAAAAAGUGAAACUUUUAUUAACAAAGUUAAGGUUAAAUACUUCUCUGAUGGAGCUGCUCUGAGAACAACAUCAAGAACUUGUAUAACUUCGUACGGAACUUCAAAAUGCCUUCGGCGUAAGAACUGCUGUAGAGUGUAAAGAUCAGGCUUCGAUGCCAAUCUGAUAACCACCCUAAACUGACGCUCCUUUCUGCAUAAGAAAUUACUCAGACACAUUAAAUCAAGAAAACUCACAAUCAACAAUAUUCAAGAAACAAACGUGUUAAAAGCAUGAGAUACCUCGGCCUGGUAGAUGAGCUGGGACGAGGAUCGCUAUCAGGUAACUUGAUAAUGAAUUCCUUCGAUUCAAAAGGCAGCGGCCCUGCCGUGUAAAUGCUCUUCAUACCAUCAUAGGCAGGUAUUCGUCCACCCAAGUUAGUCAGCCGAUAUAAAUUAAUCAGCUGAGAAAUAAUUUGUCUGUUGAUUUUUUUCGACGUCACCUCUGGAGUAAUUGAAACCUUAAAAAUAAAAAAUAAAAAAACAAAAGAAUAAACAUAUUUUUAAAAUAUCAACAAAACCCCGACACCUUCGAAUUCGACGCUCACGAAUGGAGAAUCUUAAAUAAAAUCAAAAUUGACGAGAAAAACGAAAAAUAAAAAAUAAAAAAUAAAAACAGCAAAACGUCUUCAAAAAUAACAAAAUUAAAAGUAGACUUACAUCGUAGUGAUGAAUGUCUCUCUCGGCAAGUUGCACCAUAAAGUGAUUUGCUCUGACAACACAUUUUUUGCCAACAGUUCCAAAUCCCGGCCUCACCGGAAAUCUCAUCGCCUGCGACGACGAAGGCGGAAGAGUAGCCGCCGCUGGUGCCGCCAAUGUCAGUUUCUGCUCCGUUUCUUCGACAGGAGUAGAGACUGAAGACGAACAUUUUUUGCCAACAGUUCCAAAUCCCGGCCUCACCGGAAAUCUCAUCGCCUGCGACGACGAAGGCGGAAGAGUAGCCGCCGCUGGUGCCGCCAAUGUCAGUUUCUGCUCCGUUUCUUCGACAGGAGUAGAGACUGAAGACGUCGAAGGAGCAGAAGCAGAAACAGACGGAGUCGAAGGAGCCGGCGCCGUCGAAGUCGAAGCGGUGUGUGGUGAGGAAGCCUACGACCACCGCCACCACGUCGAGACAUUGUCGAAAACAGAAAGGUAAAAUGAGAUAGAAAAUUUUGAGGAACCGAAGUGAAGUGAUGGUCACACAAAUAAAGCGAGAGAGCGACAGACUUAAGAAGAAACAGAGAGGAGGGAGGAAGAGGGGGUGUGUGUAUAAAUAAUAAGGACCAAGAUUUAAGAGAGAAAGAGAGAUCGAAUUAAAUGCAAGGCGUGCAAUGGAAAUUCUUUUUAUUUUAUUUCUUCGUGGCAGUAUGGCGACUGUUUGGUCCUCUGACGGAUUUACCCCUAGCUUUUUAUACUAAUGACGUGUAAAAUGUAGCACGCGCUUUUGUUGCCGUAACUGCUACACACUUGCAACUUGCUCCCGUUUUGCAAGGAAAGUGGCGAGGCUCCACUCACCACUUGCUCAGUUGCUCCCGUUGGAGGGCAAAGGAAAGAUCGUUCAUUUUUAUGAGAUUUUUUUUGUUUACGAGCGUUCAUCAUUAAUUAUUAAUUAUUAAUUUUCAGUUGGAAAUUGAGGUAAGAGCUUCAGCCGGGCUUCCGGCCUUUCAGGUUUCCAGCUCCCGCCACCAUUAGAACUUAAAUUACUUUUUUUUAUAAGAUGGGUUUAGCAGGAUAGAAUAAGAUUGGGUUUGAUUUAUAUUUAGUAUUAUCUCAUGUUUGGUUUACUGUAGGAUUUUAUUAAAAUAAUUUAUAAGAAAAUGAAGUAUAUUAAUAUUGAUUAUUAAACAUUUAAAAGUAUUUAUUUAUUAGAGUAAAUUUAUAAAUAUAGAUUUAAUAAUAUGAAUAUUCAAAUUAUUAAAUUAAAAAACCUAAAUAUUAAUUUAAGUUGUUUAUUAUUAUUAUUAUACACACCUAAUUAGAUGUGUCACACAUCCAUGAUUAGAUGACACAUGGCUCAUUGCGUAUAAUAAUGUGUGUAAUUGAUCAUUUGUAUAUGUUUAGAUACGUAUACACACAAUAUACAUACAUAUACACACACAAACACACAAAAUAUAAAUCUUACAUUUUUAUUAUUAGUUAAGUAAAAUGAAAAUUAAAGUAAAUAAAUAUUUAAUCAAUGUGAUAAUAUAAUGUAAUAAUAGUUAUAGAUAUUUCAUCGUGUAGUUAUUCUACAAUUAUUUUUAAGCAUGAAAAAAAUUAUCCCGCAUUAUCCCUAUGGUCCCCAUGGGAUAAAAAUUUUCAUUGUACUUUAUAAAAGUAUGUGUCCAAGAUUAAAUGGUGUGGUCUUAGGGUACAUAAUCCUCACUUAUCUUUGCGGCACCAAACAAAAGACUAGUUUAAUUUUAAAAAGAAUAGUCCAAUACUCUUAACUUUAUACUAUUGUCUAAUGCGUGCCUAUAUUCUUUUAACCAUCACAAAUAAAAAUACCACUACAAAUCUACAUUUUGUAAAAAGACCAAACUUAAAAUUACCCUCCGGAUAAUAUUGUUAAGAGAAAAUAUCCACCGUCCACCCGUUUUUUUUCAACUUUUCAAAAAUACACAAUUUUUUUUUUGUUAGAAUCCACCUAAAGUUACAUUUUGUUUCACUUUUCCACUUCCGUUUGAAAUCCGUUAAGAAAACUAACGGAAACUUAAAAAAUGACCAUUUUACCCCCCAAGACGAAAAUUAUAAUUUCACCCUAAAAAUUACCAAAAAUAAUCUAAUUAAAUCUAAUUAUUUUUCCCAUUGGUCAAUAAAGAAAUUAAUUCCACAACCAUCAAAUGCAAGGUUUUCUUUUUAAAUAUGUAUGUAAUUAGAAUACUAAAUUAUAACAGUAGUAUUAAAAAUAGCUCAAUCUCGCAAACCAUCAAUUAAAUUUAAAAUAAGUAGAAUUUUAUUAUUCAUUGAGUUAUAAUCUCUAGUAGUUAAGACUUUUUUAUACUUCAUUAACGUACCAAUAAUGAUAUUUAUCAUUAAAUCUUAUUAUUUUUUACCUUUUUUAGGGUGAAAUUUUAAUUUUCGUUUUGGGGGUAAAAUAGUCAUUUUUUAAAGUUUCCGUUAGUUUUCUUAACGGAUUCCAAAUAGAAGUGGAAAAGUGAAAUAAAAUAUAACUUUAGGUGGAUUCUAACAAAAAAUAAAAGAGUUGUAUAUUUUUAAAAAAAUUAAAAAAAAUAGGUGGACCAUAAAUAUUUUUACUAUUUCUAAUUCAAGAAGUUUAUGGUUAAAUCCACUCUGUAUUGUACCCAAAAAUCAAAUUUCACCCACCAAGUGAAGAUGGCAAAGGGUAAAAUUUGUGAAAUGAAAAAGACCGCCGAAAUAAUCAUCAGGUGUCUGGGGGUCAAUGGACAUAGUCGCUGUGGAAGAACAGAAGGUGAUUAGAAUUUGGAACGAGUGAAAAAUUUCCAUGAGCGCGUGCUGAUCCAUCAGCCUUUUAUUCCCGCGAAGCUCAGAGCUACGGCCUCUUUAAACUAUCACACGUGUCCUCCCGGCGUUUGAAUAUUUGCUCCCACACACGCUUUCCCCGGGCGCGUAUGACGACAAAUUAAUCAUAGCUUUUAGGCGGCGCCCCUUGGGGCGUUUUCCAGCCUGAAGGGUUGACGAUUCCCCAGGCAUCUAGUUUGGCAGUCCGCCUGUGGACCCCAUUUACACAACGUAAAGAAAAUUAUAUCUUUUUUAAUAAAAAAUUAUUGAAAAUCGACAGUAUUUGGUCACGCUGCCAAGUCCGUAUCCAUUACUUUAUAUUUUUUUAAGAAAUUAGUGGGGCUGUCUGCGAGGAGUCAGCACGCAGGCCUUUCCACGUAAGCGAUAAAGGAACAGAAGAACCGUACAACGGCACUUUCUUUUAAAAUGCCAAAUAACGCAAAGCUAAUACGAAACCUUUGAUGCAAGUACACGUGUCGAGCGAAGAAGGGCUUCUUCGGGACGUUUAUAAUUUGAUAAAGACAAAGUUGGGAUGGAUCAAUCGAAGCUGGCGUCUACGGGAGAUGCGGUGCGAUAGCACGUUGUAGAUAGUUUCCAAGUCUUCUCUUGCAAACAACUUCCGAAGGAAGGGACUUCCGCUUCAUGGUAUUCUAUUCGCAGCCUAUUUUUGGCUUUUUAGUUUUUUAAUUUCCUUUGUGGGGCCCGCGAGGAUACCAAAUCCUUUUGACCGAGGAGUUUUACUCCCAUCAGGUGACAAAGAUCGAUGGACUAAAUGCGCGGGACCACUUCCAAGAUUCUAGAAAUGCUACAGAGGAUAUGAUGGCGCCUUGUACUCGAUAGUCGGGGGGAUGGAAUAAAUUUCAGAGAAACAUAAGGGAUUGAUCUGAAAUUUGUCUGAUUUCUGUGCAAAUUUAAAUAUGUCGUCAUUUAAAAAGGAAAAAUAAUAUUUAACCACCAAGGAAAGGAAAGUAUUUUAGUAUGAACAAUGUCGUCAUUUUGUGUACUAUAAUAGUGUGUUUACUUAUCGAAUUGAGAAAUCAGAAUAAUUGAUGGUGUUUAUUUCGUAAAUAUGGAGCAAGAAUCGGAAUCGGAAUGGUGAGGCCCACCACUAUUUAAGAAUGGGGAAUGAGAGAUUGAUUCUCAUAGGGAGGUGGGAAUGAGUCUCCCAUUCCCGGAUUGACUAUUUUGCCCUCCCCUAAAAUUAAAAAUGCUCACUUUGUCCUCUUUUAUAAUUAACUAAUAUAAUAUUAUAAUUAAUUAAUUUUUUAUCUGCUGUACGNNNNNNNNNNNNNNNNNNNNNNNNNNNNNNNNNNNNNNNNNNNNNNNNNNNNNNNNNNNNNNNNNNNNNNNNNNNNNNNNNNNNNNNNNNNNCCCCUGCAGGUAAGAGCUGCUGUACCGUACAUCCGCUUUUAUAAUAAUUUUUAAUAUAGUUAUUAUAAUUAAUUAAAAAAAUUUACAAUUAAUUAAUAUAUUAGUUAAUAAUAAUUAUGAUAAUAAUCCAUUAAGUACUUUUUAGUAAUUUGUUACAAUCUAAUUCAUUAUGAUUCUGAUUCCGAUUCCGAUUCCAAGAUAAAAUAAACACAUUAAUGGCAAUCCAGCUCAUUUCGAUUUCGAUUCCUACAGUUCAAGUAAACAAUUUAUUUUUUUUAUUCCCAUUCCAGCUCAUUCUCAUUCAUGCCAAUUCCGAUUCCAGCUCAUUCUGAUUCCAGUUUAGUAAACGCAGAAUAAUGGUAUUGUAGCAUGAACAAUAAUAAUACUAAUUUUAUUUUGAUGUUAUCAUUUUAAUAUCAAUUAUCAUUAAAAAUUGAACAAAAAAUUAGCUAAAAUCCUAAAGUAAACAUGACUCUCUUAUUUAUAAGAGGAUUAAUCUAUCUAAAUAUUUUAGAUAGAGGUAAAAAAAAAAUUAAUUUGAAUUUUAUCCGCGAGCAUAAUACCUCAUAGACCAUGUGUCCCAAAGAAAAAGGAAAAGCUCUCACCAUAAUUGACAUGAAGAAUAAAUAUUGACUUUGCUAGUGAUCUAUCUAUCACUUUUGUGGAUUAAAAUGACGUGGACACACGUGGUUGGCAUACGUUCUAAAUGACGCAAAAAGAGAGAUAAAGCAUCUUCAUUCUCUUUUCCUUAACAUUGUUUUCUUUAUGCUUUAGCUUUCACUGUUUUAUGCCAAGAUCUCACUCAGUACUUUAAACUGUUGGGUUAAACGAAUUGUCAAUUUGAGCUUUCUUUUCAGUCAAAUCGAUAUUUUGCAUCUGCCGCGAGGCUCUUUAAAGCGCGCUGAUGUGACUUUCUUUGUAUUUACUUUUACUUAAAUUGCGUAGUUCAGAAGCAAUUGGAGUUGAACUUUGAGGUGCAAUUAUCAAUAAAUCUUUAAUUUAUCUUCUCAUUUAUUUGCAUCAACUUCUUAAAUUUUUUAUUUUUAUUUUUUAAAUAAAUACAUGAGAUUUCAAUUAAGCGACGUAAUAAGUGAUAUAAAAAUUUGAUGAACGAACGAAAGGCAAAAAGCCAGUUUCGCUUACCUCCAUGUGAUGUGGGUACAAAGUUUAUGAAAAAAGAAAAAAGAGAACUACAUCUACAACAACAUUAAGGAACGCAUAAAGAAACCGCUUUAGCUCUUUUGAUUCAUUUUAACAAUCGAAAGUGCGUCGUCUUGCUUACACUUUUUAGGAAUCUUACCAGCUGGUCAGCACUUUCUUCGUUUGUUUAAGGUGGAAGCUUCAUUCCAAAAAAUAAAAAUAAAUAUAAAUAGAUAAAAUAGUGGAAGCUAGGGGAAGGGGAAAAAUAAUAAUAAUAAUUGUUUUGUUAAUAAUACUAUCAAUACAUAAUUCAAAAAAGCUUAAUGGGUCUUAAAUAAUACGACAUGUGACUUGUCAUUAACUGAUAGAUGGUGUAAGAUUAUUAUUAUUAUUAUUAUAUUAUAUCAUAAGUUUUUAUCAACGGCACAUUACAUGACUAUAAAUUAUGUAUAUAUGAUUAUGUUAAUCAAGUAGGUAAAGUGUUCAUUUAGAUAUUAUAUUUUAGGUUAAGUAUAUGUUCAGUUACUAUAGUUAGAUAUUAUAAUAUGUUUUAUUAUUGUCCUUAUUUUUGUUUUGCUUUGACAAUAAUACCUUGUAACAAUCUUGGAGAUAUUAAUAUAAAAAUAUUAAUUUAUUACUUUUGUUGUUAAUUAUAUUACACCCUUUACUCUUACAUUUUAUUUGUUUCUACAAUAAUAAUACUCUUGUAAUAAUACAUUAAAGAAAAUAAAUAUAUUAAUUUAUUGAAUCAACCAUAAAAAAGUAAUAAUAAUUUACAAAUAAAAUAAUUAAUAUUAUUUAUUAAUUUAAACAUAUUAAAUUAUCAUAAUAAAAUAUAUUAUCUGCUGUACGAAAUUAUAAUAAUAAAAUAUAUUAUUGUAACAAUACAAUAAUAAGAUUUAAAUAUGUUAUUUAUCUAAUUAACCACAAAAGUAAAAAUAAUAAUAGUUUACAAAUAAAAUAAAUAAUAAUAGUAGCAUUAUCAUUAUUUUACCUUUACGUUUAAUUCGAUAAAUUAAUAUUUAUUUUUAUUAAUGUUUUACUGUCAAAACAAAUAAAAUAAAAUACUAAAAAGUUUAACAUAAUUAACAACAAAAAUAUUUUAAGAUAUAUUUUAAAAUAUAGAGAUUAAACGAAUACUAAUCAUCAAAAAUUGAAUUCUUUUGACUUCGAAUCAUAGUUUUCUUUGUUUCUUCGCUCUACUAUUAUUUUUUUUCCUUAUUUCCUUUUUGGAAAGAAGAAUGAUGACAAUUCUUAAAAACGAAGCAUGUGAAGACUCCUAUUCAAAUAACCAAGCUGCCAACUUAAUUGACUUUGGUCAAGAAUUUGUUUUUUUGUUUGCAUUUGAAAGGGAAUCGAAUAUCUCUCUCAAAAAAAACUCAAAAAAAAAAAAAAAAAAAAGGAAUCGAAUAACAUAAACGAGUUGUUAUUUUUUAUUUUUGACAAGAAAGUUACCGAAACUUUUCGAGCAAACAUAAAAAGAUUCGUAGCAAGUGAGAUUAUUUACAUUUUAAUAAAAGUUUAUGUCACUAAAAUGUUUCUAAUGUAAUUUAUUACUAAAGACAGUUUAAUAUAUUUGAGAAAUUAGAAAUAUUUUGGUUUUAACAAGAAAAUGUCUAUGCGGACCAAUUAAUAUAUACCCACAAGUUGAAAAAUGUAGUUGUAACUUUAAAAAGAUAUUUUGUUCUAUCUUAAUUAUUUAACGUAACAUGACAUAUAUUUUUGAAAUAUUAUUACUAUGCGAAAGUAAGUUUAUUUAAGACGGAAUCUACAAAAAAUAUAACUUAUUACAAUGUGGAGUUUAUUCUUAAUUAUAACUGGUUUUAAAUUGUGACCAUAAUUUUUUUUUUUUUUUGAUAAACAAAGGGCUCUAAAAGAGAAGAGUUAGAGGGGCACAAACCGGGGGUGUGCCACCCCAUACAUAUCCAAAUAUAAAAUAGAUCUCAACCCUAAAGGUGCAGAACGAAGAAAAUGUACUCCAACAGGUAAACUCAAAGCAUGCGUAGAAAGGAAAUCACCUGCCGAGUUUGCUUCGCGGUAGAUGUGACCAAUUUGAAUCCUCCAAUCCCUCCUCAUGAGUUCUCUAAUCAUCUCGAUUAUAUUCGAAGUUUCGUUGACAUGGGCAUUAUUUUCCUUUAUAAUUUACACCACACUACAGUUGUCUACUCCAACUUGGAUAUGUCUAUAGCCAAGAUCCCAUGCCAUUCUUAGCCCAUGCAAUACACCCCAAAGCUCAGCCUUUAGCACUGAACAAACUCCAAGAUGUGCGCUGAAGCCAUGAAUAAAAUUACCAUGACAGUCCCGCAGCAGCCCACCUGCACUCGCCUCUCCAUUUCCUUUCCUUGCACCAUCCGUAUUUAAGCACAAGAAAGGCCAUGGUGGAGGAGCCCAGUGAAUCCAUUUCUGAAUCCUUUCAUUUCUUCGAUAGCCUACGCUUGAAAGAGUAGAACAAAUACUCUCAGCCCUUGCCUUAAUAUCCCGGACCAUAAUUUUUUUUAUUAUUAUGAAGCGAUUAUUCCUAUAUAGAGUAUUUUUAUUUAGAGGUUCUACUAUAUACAGAGAGAGAUAGUGUAGCUUCUGCAUUCCGCCAAUGCGUGGGCUUAAGCUUGGCACCCCCUUAUAGUCGUUUCUUAUAUAAUAAAAUCAGAAUUCAAUAAGAAAGCUAAUUCCUAAAGAGGAAAGGAAUUACACGUUAUCACAACUUCUUAAUUAUGUUCUUAAUAAAUAAUUAACUAUACACAUAGUUUGUUGCUCUGAUGAACUCAAGCAAUUAAUCUUGUGUCAUCUCUGAUAUUGAUUCAUUCAUUAAACAUGGAAGUUUCUCUUCGUGCUCUUAAUAAUAAUGACUCUGCAAUUCUGGGGACACCGUUCUCGCUCUACGUUGGAGACCUCGACUCCACAGUAACAGAACAACAGCUCCUUCAGACCUUCUCGUUCUCAAAACUCGAAGGACUUGCUUCGGCUAUGCUCUGCAUUGAUAGCUUCCAUCGACGUUCACUCUGCUAUGGCUACGCCAACUUUCAUUCCUUUCACUGUGGUACGUGCAUGCAUGUUCAUAAUUUAUAUAUACAUAUUUUCCUAAAACUAUUUUAAUUACCUACGUAAAAUUAAUUGAAUCAAAUAUGUACUUUUAGUUAUAUGUGUACAACUCUUUGUUGUAUAAACUGAAUUAUUGCAGAUAAUUCCAUAAUACGGGAAACAGAACGUACACCAAUGACCAAUCUAUUCCUUAACCAGCUGUCUUUCCCAGAAUUUGAACUAGAGCAAUGAUUAGUCAGUUAAAUAAAAUUACUUGAAAACAACUUGACUAAACCCUAGGGUUUCAGGAAAUGUUAAUUAGAGUUAGGGCUACAAGUUUGGGACUUGGUCAAGAGCGAUAAUCAAAACCCUUGCAUGGGACGAGCCAGUGAUUAGAACCCAAACCUUACAAUUGUGAAGUCAUGGAUUUAAGCUCCCACAAUGUAUUGUGGGGGAUUUAAUUUCCUUCUUUAAUUGAGUAAAGAUAGUUUUUUCUUUUCGAAAUGUGAGUGGAGUAAACAUCAUUCGAAUCUUAAAGAGAGUAAAAAUUCGGGCAGUGUUUCAUAAGAAUUGAUGUAAACUAGUCCCAGUAAUAAUCUGAUUUAUAAAUCUAAUGUAAUAUGAGUUGUACUCUUGAGCAAUUGUCUCAUGCAAUUAAAACAAAAAAAAAAAGCCAUACGCGACAAUGUUCUUCUAAUUAAAUUCGAAACGAUUUGCUGGCUUACUUUCAUAACAAUUGAAAUAUAUUCCUAAUGAACGUCUUUAACUUUUAUUAUUUUUUUAUCAGCAACAAAGGCUAUAGAGGCAUUGAAUUAUACAAUACUGAAUGGUAAAGCAAUUAGAGUAAUGCAGUCGACACCCAAUUCUGAAGCCAGAUUGAGUUGGUAAAGUGUUCCUUAAGGUAAUUAAUUACAAAAAAUUUUCAUGGGAUAUGAAAACAUUUAGUUACUCGAUCAUCAUUUUGUCUGCUGUUUCCUAUAUAUAUAUAUAUACACACUUGGCAGAACUUGGCUAGUACAAUAGACAAUUGGAAGCUCCAUCAAAUAUUUUCCAAAUUCGGAGACAUUCAGUCCUCCAAGGUUGUUGUGUCUCAAGAUGGGAAAAGCAAAGGCUAUGGCUUUGUCCAAUACUCAACGCAAGAAUCUGCACUCAAUGCUAUUGAGAAGCUUUAUGCUGCUACCGUUGAAGGAAUGGAGCUGUAUGCGCCAUCUUUGUAUAUAUGCUAAUUUAUUUACUAUUUGUCGCAUUAAUAAUGUUCACCGGCAUUAAUUGGCAGCUAUGUUGGUCCAUUCAUCAGAAGGGCUGGUAGGAUUCAAGAAAGUGCUUCAUUUAACAACCUGUACGUCAAGAAUUUAGAUGAUGAUGUGACUGAGGAGAUUUUGGUAGAGAAAUUCUUUGAGUUUGGAAAAUAUUAAUUUGAGAGAAUGCAAAGAGAGCGUGCCGAAUUAUACAAGGUUUUUUUUUUCGUUAUUUGCUCUCUCAAUUAAUAUCGUUAUUUUCGUUUGUUAAAUCCUGCUAAAAUCAAGAUGUUUGUCAAGUGUAGGAUAAAAAUUUGUAUGUGAAGAACAUAAAUGAUGACGUUGACGAAAUUGAAUUGAAACAAUAUUUUAGCCAGUGUGGCAUUAUCAGCUCUGUUAAGAUCAUGAGAACUAAUCGAGGUAUUAGCAAAGGGUUCGGAUUUGUGUGUUUCUCUAAUCCUGAUGAAGCCAAUCGAGCCAUAAAUACUCUGAAUGGCAUCCUGUUUCAUCAAAAGCCAUUGUAUGUGGCCAUUGCUCAAACAAAGCGAGAAAGAACUUCGUACCUACGAAUAAUGUAUGCAAAGCAAGGGCCAGGACUUGCUAGCACCAAUUUUCCUGUGCAUCCGACCCUUUAUCAACGUGCACUACAAGUGUAUCAAGCACCAGGGUUCAGGCAUGGUGGCAUGAUUCCUAAUGGAUUUUCUUCUCCUCCUCCUUCUCCUUUGUUUCUAACGGUAACGUAAAAUCAAGUUUAGGAUGUAUUUGGAAUUGUUGCGCUUCUGCUUAACUUUGGGAUUUAUAAUUUUGUGUUACAGGCUCCUAAUUCUGUUAAGGCAAUAUAGAGGAGGAAGGAUGAAUGGGCAUGCCAAUUUUCGAAUGCCACUUAUGCUAUCAAAUCUACAGAAGCCUUCUUUUCCAUUUGCUCUUUAAACAAAAUGUUUCUUUAAUUCACACGACCAUUAUUGUAGAGGGCCGGGCAAGCUGCUGCCAACAACCUGACAAAUGGGAAUCAAAGAGCUGCUGCCAACAACAGCAUGCUUGCUGUUGCUUCCCCUGAUGAAAGGAAAGAUAUUCUUGGCCAAGGACUCUACCCGCUGGUGAAGAAACUCAAGGUGAUUACUCAUAUUUUUGUUGAAGGUCAAUUUCGAUUCAUUUUAGGUAGAAUGAUAAUCUUCAGUUUAUUUUCAUUUUCAUUCAAAAGAUUAGGACAAACGAAAAGAGUUUUGAUAAUUUUUUUUUAUCUUUUUAAUAAUAAAAGACAUCAAUUGAUGUUUUUAUAUUUUUAAGGUAAAUAGUAGAUUGUCUUUUAAAAUAAGGGAGUAAAUUGAAGUUUUAACCUUCUGCGAAUGUACUCACAAUUUUCACCUGUUUUAAGCUUUGGAUUAAUGAUAUUUACAUUUAACUUUUGGACAGUGUGGUCUUACACCAAAGAUUACUGAGAUGUCUUGGAAAUGGAUCACUCCGAGCUGCUCGUGCUGUUGGAAGAAGCAACGGAGUUGCUUGAGCUCUCAAAAAGUAAAGAAAGUAAUUUAGAAGCCACCGUACGGGAAGAAUAACGGGUAAUUGAAAGGAAAAAAGGAGGCAUACACAGUUCAAUACUCUUGCUGACUGCUUAAAUGUACUUGUAUACGAUCACCGGCUUUUUUAGGUUGCUUUGAAGAAAUUUUUAUGACAUUUUUUAAUUCAAUACCUUCGUUUUUGCAGUAUUUGUUCAUCAAUUUAUACGUCUUAGUUAAAAACAACUGCAUGUACCCAACCGUACACAUGCAUCAUUCGCCUCAUCAAACAAUUGGGGCAAACUUUGAUUUUCCUUCUAAAAACCAUUUUUUUUAUUAUAAUUUAUUAUUUUAAUUCACUAAUUCUCGAAAGUCACAAAAAAUCUUUGAUUAACCAAGGGCCAGUUUGGAAUUGUAGUUGAAAUUUAAUAAGCUGCUUAUUUCAUAAUUUUUAAUAAAAAUAAUAUUUAAAAUUUUUUGUAAAAUCAACUUAUUUCAUAAUUUUCUCCAUUUUGUCAGCAGUUUUUAAAAACAAGUAACAAAUUACUUUUUAUAAACAGCUUAUUUAAUAAGUUACCAUACAUUUUUAAAUUUCCUAUUAUAACCCUAGAAUUUAAUAAAAAGACAAUUAUAUUUUAUUUAUCUAUAAACCGUAAUAUAUGAAUCAUAACUUUAUUUUUAUCAUAUUUUAUGUAAUAAAUUAUGAAGUUCUAUAGAUUUUUUUAAUUGAGUUUUUUAAUGUAAUUUUACGCAUUUAAGAAAAAAAGAUAUGUCUCAAUAAUUUAUUAAAUAUACUUUAAAAAUAAAAAAGUAAUUAAAAUUUAUGUCUAUCUUAGUCAUUAUAUAAUAAAACAAUAAGAAAAAAGAUAAGUAUAAAUAAUUUAUUAAACAUACUUUAAAAAUAAAAAGUAAUUAAAACUUGUAUCUAUUUUACUCAUUAUAUAAUAAAACAAUACUUUCGUAAUAUAAUUUACCAAACACAUGUACUGUACUAUUCAAAUUCUCAGCAACCACAAUAGUACAGUUUGUCAAAUACUAAACUACUUUUUUUAUCAACAGCUUAUUUCACCUGCACAACACAAACUGCUUAUUUCAUAUGACUUCGCAAUCCCAAAUUGGCUCUAAUUUUUCUUUGACUACUGUAGUAAUGAUCAAAGCUUAAACUACUUUUCAAUUUGAUUCUCUCUCCAAAAUCAACUUCAUCUUUCUCAAAAUUCUAACAAAUUUAGAACAGUCUAAAAACUCUUAUUUUUUAUUUCUAAAUGAUUAACAUUGUCUCUUUCAUCUUGUUUCUAAUUACCGUUGAGCUGAAUUUAUUACUUUUUGAAUAAUUAGAAAAUUCAAUACUUACUUCACAUAUUACAAUAAAUUUUGGUUAAGGGAAAGAGAUCGAGAGAGAAAAUAAGAUCAAAUAUAUAAUUGAUCCAAUUAUGUUUUCAGAAUAAAAAUGUUAAUUGAAAAAAGAGUGCAGUGAGAUAAUCAGCACUGUCCAAAAAUGUUAAUUUAAAAAAGCGUGCAGUGAGAUAAAAUAACCCCACCAAGAAAUGAAGUUUGUUGGCAUUUAAAUUUACAAGGCAUUAACCAGCAUUAACCACGACAAUAUGCAGCUAACAUUUUUAACAUAAGGAGAAUCAGUUUCUACCCUUGAUGUCCAAUUUGAAACUACUCCCAAAAUAACAGUACUGUCCAAAAACGGCACCACACUGUACUCCAUAUACCAAAACACGUCGAGCUUUGAUGAAAACCAUGACAAAGAGGAUUGAUGCUGGAGACUACUUUCAGCAGUAAAACAUUACAUCUUUCACAUUAUCCUUGAUGACGGGAAGAGGCCGGAUAGCCAAACUCCCCUCCGCCGUGCUCCUAGUCCCUCCUGUGGAUCCACCCGCAGAUGUUUCAUCCUCGAUAUAAAAACGAGCCCGAAAAGCUGCUAAAUGUGCAUAGUAUGCAGGAGGCACUGCCAUAUGAAAACAGCCAAUAAAAAUAAAUAAAAAAGAAAAAAAAAUAAUCAAUGCUAGCCAGAAUAAUAAUAAUUCAUUGACUUAAAAUGUUUUUAGUAAAACAAUAGAAGCACAAGGGACAGACCUAUUGAAACUGAUCGAGUACACCUUGCAUACCUGAAAAUGGGCCACGAGUCAAAAACUUACAAAAUAACCACUUGAAAGAUAAAUUCUUCAACAAUGCAAUAUUAAAUCCGAUUAGAGAGAAGGUAAACAUAUUACGUGUAACACAAGUUAUUUGUUAACAUUUGCAAGUUUGUUUAAUUUUUUGUUUUUUUUUGUUUUUAACUGGAUUGAAAGAGCAAAUUUAAAUUUUUUUUUUUAAACCUGAAUUCCUGCAUGGCUGUUGAGGUAAAAAUCGAAUUCUGUAGGGUGACAAAUUUGAGUAUCGACAACAGUUCCUAACACAAGAACAUCCCAAAAGUAUUCAUCAAAGACAAGGUUAAGCAACAACAUGGUUCCCAGCCAUUGUGCAUACUCAAAAGACGCAAAAAGAAAAUAAAGAUUAAUAAUACAAAGCAAACUUGGAACCUGGUAAAAUAUUUCCACUCCUAUCUGUCAGAUCACGUCUGUUGUACUCAGCAGGAAAAAGGCGAGUAUGAUGCCUUUUCUGUACCACAACAAACGUAACUGGUGGUGCAUAUCCCUCCUCAAUUGAGGCACAGGCCUGGAAAUAAGUCAAUUUAGCAUGUUGCAACAGAAGUCAUCAACAAGAAAUCAACUGAAACUAGACAUUGAAAAUCUCCAGAACACAAGAAAAUUGUAUUAACUUCAGAACUCAUCAGUAUUACCUGCCGGAUAGCAUUCAUUUCAUGGAGCAAAACCUGACUGAACUGCCCUUCACUAACACCAUCUCUGGCACAUAAAUUAAACGACAUCAGUAACAUUAUACAAAACAUGCAGUUUAACGUUGAAAACAGCCAUUACCGGUAGAAAAUAAUCCUGUGAGGUUUGAAGUUGGUUGAUCUUCUGAAGUCAAUUAACAGUUCCCUGUAAAAGACAAACAGAAGCAUAAGAUUCUCUUAAUAAUAAGGCACCUGAUAUGUACUUCCAUGUCUACUAACCGGAUCAUCCCUCCAUGAACUAAACCCCUCUGAGGAUCUUUAAUAGAUUUAUAGAGAUCUUGGAUAAUUUCCUCAUUAUGUGCCUGAGAAGAGACAAGUCCUCUGUACUUGGUUACUUCUGGCCAAUCCAUUGAGGCCACCACCUGUCUCAGUCAAUUCAAUCUUUUAACAGAGUGAAUUACUAGAAAGCAGAAACAGAAAAUGAGUGCACAUACGGCCGCUAUUGAAGGGCUAGAGUCUUCUCCUGGUUGUGGAUGGGUGACAUCUGCACCAAAUAUAAUUGUAGGUCUAUCAGUCACAAGAGGAAUUCUUUUCUGAACAGCAUCAACGAGCACAGUGUUUCGUCCUCCAACCUGAUAAAAUUACAAAUAGUAAACUGAAUCUCCAGGACCAAUAAGCAAACCUAUCAAUUUUAACACGAAAUUUUGGCACUCCCAAACACUUAUAAAAAUAUCUUGAACAUCAGAAUUUGAUUAUUUGAAAAAAAAAUUACAAUAAUUCCAGCAAAGCAAGACUGAAAUUAAAUUGCCAAAAAAAAAAAAACUCAUCUCCUACAUGUUUUCCUGCUAACCCUUGUAUUUGUUCUCAAAUAUUAACCAUGAUAAUGAACACACAAAAAAAUGGGGGCAAACCAAACCUUCACAUUGAUUUUAAGAGCCACAUUUUCAAAAUACUGCAUAUUGCGACUGGAUGCGUGCUUAGGCUGACAGCAUUGUGAAACAAUCCCAAGUUCUGUUUCACAAACUCGCUUAAUUCUUCCUGCGAGCAGAAAGCCGAUAAUGUUGAACAAAACCAAACCUGACAUAAAAGUUUAAUCAUGGAUUAAAUUUAUCACUCACCAUAUGAUCUGCUAACAUCAGGUAAAAUAAUUAUCAACAGCUGAAGCUGUUUCCCUGGCUGAGUAGUCUUACUGUGAACGUCUACAAGUUCCUUCUCAAUUUGAUUUGGGUUGUAUGAACUUAUGGGAAUGACAGGCUGCGGGUUAAAUACCUAGCAUGACAAACACAGACCCCCCCAAAAGAAAAAAGUCGGUUCAGAGAGACCAUUAACCUGAAUUGCUAACAUGAAUUGCAAAACAAAGAACAUUACCAUACCAUUCCCUUUUUCUUGCACAUGUCUACCAACCGUUGACAGAACCGGCUCACAUCCUGGUUCAAACACGUUGAGAAGUUCAUACAAGUCCAAACUUGCACUGUCCCACCAUUGAACAUUUUCUGUACAACCAAAAUUACACAAAAUAAUUCAGUGUGAACAAAAAAAUGCUUCCCAUUCUGAAGGCAAAGUGGAUUGAGCUGAACACCAAGCACAUACAAUCCGAAUACCUAAGUGAAUAUCAGAUACAAUGCUUGUCAAAGAUGAAAAAGUAUAUAACUAAAUAGAAAUUACAGCAUGCUAAAACAGGAAAAAAAAAAAAAUUAUGGUUGCAAAAGAAAUGCAGCACAUCCACAUUGCAUCAAAUGUAGCAAAUCAACUUCCAACCCAUCCUACCCAUCAGUCAAUAAACAUCCCUCAACCAGAUUAAACAAGUGGUAACUGCUUCCCUAUGCUCUUCCAAAGCACAAAUCAACAACUACGGAAUAAAAUAAUAAUCAGUAAUUCACCUUGUUAAUCAUGUUCCAUUGCCCAAAAUCAGGAUUCACGCUUGCUUCUCUGCCAGAUUCAUGAUAUUUAAGCUGCAGCAUUACAGGAGGUAAAGUUAAGCACAAGGAGAUUGGAAGCACCACAAUCCUGUUACAAAUAAAACAAAAUGACACAUAAUUACCAUUGGAGCAGGUAGGAUUCGAGCAUCAAACGAUGUAAGACCAUCAGCCACUUGAAUUCCAAACUCCUUGUUCACAAGAGUAUCUUUAUUGUAAGCAUUUUUCCUAGCCAUCUGCAGAAGAAUGUCAAACCCAGAAGCAAGAAUCAGAAACUCUCUUUGUUCAUAAGAAGAUAGCUCCCAGAUUAAUCAUCCAAAAAAGAUCCACCACAGAUGUAAGAAAUUACAACAAUGCUCUACCGUCUGUAUAUUUGCUUCACGAUCCCGAGGACGCUGACAGGUUGCUCUUAAAAGAGCAGUUACUUGUCUUUCAUUUAAUCUUUUAGUAUAUCUCUGUCCCUCGACAAUCCUAGAAAGCUGGAAACAAAAAUAUUCUAUAAAUAAGUCUUAAAUAAAUUAUUUUCCAGACACAAAGAAUGAAAAUAGUCUUUUGAUCAUAGAACCUCCAUUGGCAAAUAAAUGCGCCUCUCUUCAGUUCCAGCUUCAAGGGCAGGCAAUGACGUGAAUUGAAGCGCAAUAUUAUGUCUUUCAAGAAAAUAUUGAACCACCGACAUCUCUGUCACACUGCCAUCUGUAAACCUAGCAAAUACAAUCAAAGGGAAGAUAUAACGUGAAUGCCUACUAUAACAUGGAAGGAGGGAUACAUCACUGUUACACGCAAUAUCAAGUGACCAUCGCACUACAUAGUAGCCAACUACUAUCACAUAUCAGAUUUGAGAAAUUGAUUUGAGGCACAUCCGCCAAAAUUUUUACCACCAAGUAGUUCAAUCAUACAUAAAAUACAACACAAAAGACAAAUUUAACCAUAUGUGGAAUUCAGAUGACAACAAAAGCAGGCAACAUAAAGUAUGCUUCUCAAAUGGCGUGGGGGACUCAAGAAUCAGCUAACAUAAACAAAUCGACCAACAUAAACACAACCAAACCACCAAGUUAUGUUAUCACACUCUAUCACCACAAGUUGGACAGUGUUCUUACACUUGUAUAUCAGUUAAUUACACACACACAUACAUUACUUGGCUCAUCGGUUGACUGGUUAUUCCAGUGAUCUUGCAAUUUAAGUUGUACCCCAUAUGCCUGAGCACUACCUUUAUUCCCUUCAAUGCCUUUUUCACCUAGAAGUCAAGAAUUAAACAAUUAUAUUAAUAUCAUUGAGCACGUGUCUCUAUCCCAUUCCCAGCAAUAAUUUUGAAAAUAAUUAAAGGGCAGUUGUCAAAUAGCGGCCAAAAUAGAUCGAAAGUAAAAAGUUUACAGAUAGUUCAAAAGAUUGCUAAUAUACGUAACGGAAUGAUAAUAAGUUGAUCAAGAUAACUGUACAAUUGCAAAUGAAUGCGUGGAAGAUUUUUAAAACCGCCAUUUCAAGAUCUCAUUUCUUUAUCAUCAGAAUUAUAGGCCAAAUUAUACACCAACUUCCGACAUUAAUCAUUAAACACUGUCAUCAACAUUCUGUUCCCCCUAGACUUGGGAGCUCAUUCUAUUUAGAUUUCAAUGGCCAAGAACAACACUACUCACUACCCACCAGUUCAGCCACAAAUUAAGAAAUUACCCUAUCCAAAAUUUGCAAGAAAUUUGAAAUUUUAAACUGCUAAUUACUUGCAAUUAAUUAUACACAGCAUCUAAAACAUUACUUAACUGUUUUCCUAACAAAUCUGUGAUCAUUCUUUGAAAAGGCUCUUAUCGCAAAUAUAUUACGGUGCUGCAGCCCUCAAUUAAAACUUUUAACCGCCCAAUAGAUAGCUCAUUAAAUUGAUACUAAAUUAAUUAUAACCAAGACAUCACGAAAGAAGACUAGACAAUACCUUCAGACGCACUUGAUCAGAAAGAGGACGUGAUAAGUCGCUGCAAUAAUACUGAACAAACUCAGUAACUAGAAUUGGCUUAUAAAAGGAGCUGGCUGAAACAUCUGCAACAGCAAAAGCAAAUAUUUAUGUAGCAACGUUGCACCUAAAAAAGAAAAUCAAGUUUGCAUAAUAUAAAAGAGAAGCAGCAUCAAAUUAUAUAAAAUAUAAUGAGAAAUACCAAUAUUAAGAGAUAGCCCCAUCUGGGUUGGGCGAAGACUCUGAAAAUAUCCACGCCAAUAUUCAACGUCAUCACCAAGCUGACCCAUUGGUCCAAGAUCAGCUGAGAAAAAUGACCUUCCCAGAACUGUAUGCCUGAUGCAGAAGUUCAUCAUUUCAUUAAUUAAUCAUUCUAAAACCUAAAUUGUUCAAGACACAAAAUAGACAAUCAUAAAAUUGUUCCUCAGAAAUAAAAUGCUAAAUCAGUUGCAUGAACAAGCAAAUGCCGGCAUGGGCAGGCAACAUCCUAUUUCAUACAAACCAAAAAGUGAAACUUUUAUUAACACGGUUAAGGUUAAAUACUUCUCUGAUGGAGCUGCUCUGAGAACAACAUCAAGCACUUGUAUAACAUGGUACGGAGCUUCAAAAUGCAUUCGGCGUAAGAACUGCUGUAGAGUGUAAAGAUCAGGCAUCGAUGCCAAUCUGAUAACCACCCUAAACUGACCCUCCCUUCUGCAUAAGAAAUUACUCAGACACAUUAAAUCAAGAAAACUCACAAUCAACAAUAUUCAAGAAACACACAUGUUAAAAGCAUGAGAUACCCCGGGCUGGUAGACGAGCUGGGAUGAGGAUCACUAUCAGGUAAAUUGAUAAUGAAUUCCUUCGAUUCAAAAGGCAGCGGCCCUGCCGUGUAAAUGUUCUUCAUACCAUCAUAGGCAGGUAUUCGUCCACCCAAGUUAGUCAGCCCAUAUAAAUUAAUCAGGUGAGAAAUAAUUUGUCUGUUGAUUUUUUUUGACGUCACCUCUGAAUAUCGAUUCGAUUCGAGAUCUUGGACUUGAUCAAUUGAAACCUUAAAAAAUAAAUAAACAAGGAAAACAAUAAACAUGUUUUUAAAAUAGCAAUAAAACCCCGACAUCUUCGAAUUCGACGCUCACGAAUGGUGAAUCUUAAAUAAAAUCAAAAUUGACGAGAAAAACGGAAAAUAAAAAAUAAAAGGAGUCAAAACGUUUUCGAAAAUAACAAAGUUAAAAUUAAAAGUAGACUUACAUCAUAGUGAUGAAUGUCUCUCUCGGCAAGUUGCACCAUAAAGUGAUUUGCUCGGACAACACAUUUUCUGCCAACGGUUCCGAUUCCCGGCCUCACCGGAAGUCUCAAUUCCUGCGACGACAAAGGGGGAAGAGUAGCCGCCGCUGGUGCCGCCAAUGACAGUUUCUGCUCAGUUUCUUCGACAAGAGUAGAAACUGAAGACGAAGAAGGAGAGGAUUCUGAAACAGACGGAGACGAAGGAGCCGGCGCCGUCGAAGUCGAAGCGGUGUGUGGUGAGGACGGGGCUGCACCGGAGCCGGAAUGCGAUCCACGACCAGCACCCCCACGUUGACCUUGACGACCUCGGCCCCGUGGUCCCGCGGCUCCGCCACCACCGCGCUGGAAAGACGGCGCCGGUGCCUGAGUCGGCUGGUCACGGCAAGAAUCCCGCCUACGACCACCGCCACCACGUCGAGACAUUGUCGAAAGCAGAAAGGUAAAAUAUCAGAGAAAAUUUUGGGGAACCGAAGUGAAGUGAUGGUCACGCAAAUAAAGCGCGAGAGCUACGACUUGAGGAGAAAGUAAGUGUCAGAGAGCUACGACUGGACAGCUACGGCAAGAAUCCUGCACACCUGAUCAUUGUUAUAUAUGUAUAUAUGUACACAAAAACACAUUGGCAAUUGGGCAUUAAAAUUUAUUUGAACAUAUUAUAUUUAGCCUAUUUAAUAAUUUAAACCACUUUCUAAACUUAUAAAUUUUCCUUUUAAAUAUGUUAUAUAUUUGGUCCAUUUAUUAGUUUAUUGUAUGUGUUAUGGACUUGAAAGUGGUGCUCAAGUCAUGACUUAAUUGAUUGAUACAAUUACCUAUCUCAUAACUUUAAAUUUUUAAAAGGGUAAUGAUACAGCCACAAACUCUUGUACAAAUUUAUUUUGUACAAACUGACGUGACAUUAAUUCAUUGAUUGAAUGAAAAUAUAAAUUAAUAAAAAUAAAUCAUGUGGGCCAAAUGAUAUUUAAUUCAACCAAUCUUAUCAUGCUACAUCAUUUUGUACAAAAUAAGUUUGUACAAGAGUUUGUGGCUGUAUCAUUACUCUUUUUAAAAAUAUCAAGACAAAAGUCAUCAGUUUUAACUUUUUAAAUAGUUGAGUUUGAUUUAUUUGAUCAACUAAAUUUCUUACUAUAUAUGAUAAGUUUUUUAUAUUUGCCUCAAAUAUUUAUAUUAAUUUUAAGUCAUUACUUGAAAAUAACAAACAACAAUCUAUAGCUGAAACUUUAAAUUGUUAAUUAAGUUGACAAUGAAGUUAUUAUAGUAUGUAAUUUUAUAAAACUGCAAAUGAGUUGAGAAAAAUUGUAAUUAUGUUGAAAAUCAGUAAUUCAAUGAAAUUCAAUAAUUUGACACCUAUUAUUUUUUGUUGAAAGUUUUUUUGCAAUUGUAUCAUACUAAACCUCUCCUAGAUAAAAUUUUUGGGUUCGUCCCUAUCAAUGUGUCUGCAUAUAUGUAUAUAACAUUCAUAUUAUUAGUUAACUAAAAAAAAAUAAACUAAGUAAAUAUUGAAUCAAUAUGAUAAUAUAAUAUAAUAAUAUUUACAGAUACUUCGUCAUGUACUUAUUAGACAACUAUUUUUAAAUACGAAAAGAAUUAUCCCACAUUAUCUCUAAGGUCCUCAUGGGAUGAAAUUUUUCCUCAUAAAAGUAUGGGUCCAAGAUUAAAUAGCGUGGUCUCAGGAUACAUGAUCCUCACUUCUCUGAUCUCUCUGUGGCACGAAACGAUAGACCGGACUAAUUUUAAAAAGAAUAGUCUAAUCCUCCAACUCUAUACGACUGCUUAACGUGCGCCUAUAUUCUUUUUUUUUUGUUUAAUAAGGGCUCUGUAAAAAGAGCUAAAUCGGAACAAUACGGGGUUUAGCAACCCCAAUCAUGUCCUGCAAAAUAACUGAAUAAAUGCCCACAGGCGGGCUAGUAAAAAAAUGCAUCCCAUUAGGGAGAGAAAGAGCCAUAUUGGCCAUGAAAUCUGCAACUGAAUUCGCUUCGCGAUAGAUGUGAGUUAGGCAGACUUGCCAGUUCCUAUCAAGAAGAUCCCGGAUUGCAACCACUAAAGCAUAGGAAACAUUGGGCACGACUACCUGCUUGGAAAUCAUUUGUGUAACAUACAGACUAUCCACUUCCACCAAUAGCCAUUUUAUGCCAGCCUCCCACGCCAAGAUUAGCCCUUGAUAAAGACCCCAUAGCUCCGCCAUAGCCACCGUACACUCCCCAAUAUUCAUACAAAAUCCCGAAAUCCAAUUUCCAACAUAAUCACGAAUAACGCCCCCAGCUCCUGCCUCAUAUGAAUUUCUAACGGAACCAUCCGUAUUUAAUUUGCACCAAGGCCAUGUAGGAACCUGCCAGCCGACAAACAUCUCUCUUCUCUUCGGUUGCUGACUCAUAUGAGAAAAAUUAAUUCUAUGAAUUUCAUUUGCUCUAGCCAUAACAUCCAUAAUGAUUGCUGAGCUAUCCACCAAUUUUCCUUCGACCAUGAAAUGAUUUCUCCAGAACCAUAGCCUCCAAACGGCCACCCCAAAAACACACUCCCAAGGAAUGUGAGAAGCAAGCUUUGACUUGUUCUGAAGAUUAACUACAAUCCAGUCCCGGAGAUUAGCGUGAAAGAUAGAGUUAUAAUCACCCUCUGAAACAAGACACAACCAUACCCGUUUGAUGCACGGGCAGUCUCUCAAAGCGUGAAGAAUGUCUUCAACCGGAGCCCCACACCUAUCGCAUGCCAUUGACACAGGAAUAUGACGUCGAACUAAUUCGCCAUGAGUUUUUAAGCUACCAUGCAUAAUCUGCCAGAGGAAAAGCCGAACCGACUGUGGUCCCUUCCACGACCAUGCAAGGCUCCACAUUUCCUCUUUGAUGGCGGGAUUUUGGCUGCAGAUGGAGUCAUAUGCUGAACGGACAGUAAAGAUGCCUCUGUGGUCAAAACUCCAAAAAAUUCUAUCAACACCUAGCUGAGGCGCGGGAGGCAUAACUGAUGCAAUUUGCAUGAGGAUAAAGUUAGGUAGCAAAUGCUCAAAUCUCGGCCAGUUCCAGCCCCCAUGUUCAGUGACAUACUCACUCACCGGAUCAUUGAUACGCUCGUGCGGGAUUGGCUGGAUGGCAAGCGUUAUCAAGGGUUCGUGCUUUGUUGCCCAACAGUCAAACCAGAACCGGACUCUCCCCCCGUUGCAAACUGACCAGCGAGCUCUAUGCAUGGUGUCUGCCCACGUUUUCCUGAUAGCCAUCCAGAUCCUAGACCCUUGUUUCUCCGGAAGUGUAAGCGGUAAGUUUCCAAUAUCCAAACCAUAUUUAGAACAAAACACCUUUACCCAUAAUUUUUCCGAAUUCGAAACAACUUCCCACGUUAGCUUCAUCAACAACGCCUGAUUCAUCACAUCCAACUUUUUAAAUCCCAAACCUCCGUGGGUCUUUGGCUUACAAAUUCUGUCCCAGCCCACCAUACUUAGCUUGUGCCUCUUCGAAUUCCCAUCCCAAAUAAACCGGCGACAUGCCGUGUCAAUUUUCUGCCGCACCGGGGGGGGAAGUAAAGUUGUUUGCAUUGCAUAGAUAGGCAUUGCCUGAACCACCGAUUGCGCCAAAGUUACUCUUCCAGCAAAAGAUAAAUGCGCGGCAUUCCAUCCAGUAAGCCUCAUGUUCACCUUAUCCAAAAUGGACUGAUAAGUAGCUUUAUUCACCCGCGAGUGAAUUAGAGGCAUGCCAAGGUAAGAACCCAAAUCCUUAGUAGCCGAAAAACCCAAUGCGUCACCAAUAAGCUGGCCAUCUCUAAUUGAUACAUUUUUAGAGAAAAAAACUUUGAUUUUCGAUUUAUUAACCUUUGCUUCAGAGCUUCGGCAAUAAUUCUCCAACACUUCGUCAAUUAUAUAGGCUUGAUCAACUGAGGCUUCUGAAAAUAAAAGUAAAUCAUCAGCGAAAAAAAGGUGAGUUAGGGGAGUUCCAUGUUUGGCCAACCGGAUUGGUUUCCAAAAGCCUUCCCUCACAGCUUUAGAAAUACCAUGACUUAAACGCUCAAUGCAAAGCACAAAAAUGUAUGGAGAUAGAGGAUCUCCCUGUCGAAUUCCUCUCCCCGGGGAGAAUUCCUCUGUAACCUCUCCAUUCCACAAAAUGCUCAUUUUAACUGUAGUAACACACUCCAUGAUGAGCCUAGAUAGCUGAAUCGGAAAACCAGCCAGCUGAAGAGUUUCGAAGAUAAACGACCAAUUGAGCCGAUCAUAUGCCUUCUCAAGAUCGACCUUGAUAGCCAUAAGCCCUCGCUUGCCUGUCUUCCGUCGCAUAGAAUGAACUACUUCUUGGGCAACAACAAUAUUAUCGAUAAUGUGGCGGCCAGGAACAAAACUGGUUUGAUGUGGGCCUAUAAUUUCAGGCAGUACAGCUUGUAAACGGUUCGCAAUUAUUUUAGUCACAGUUUUAUAGGCUACCGUACAUAAGCUGAUAGGUCUAAACAUUUUUAAACUAGUAGGAUGCUCCACUUUAGGGAUCAACACUAAAAGAGUAGUAUUGACCUCUUUAGGGAUCCUACCAGAGUUAAAAAUGUCAACAAUGAACUUGCAGAAGGAAGGUCCAACCACUGCCCACUGAGACUGAUAGAAGAUAGCUUGCAACCCGUCUGUGCCUGGAGCCUUAAGCGGCUUCAUACUAAAAACAACAUUCUUGAUCUCUUCUACCAAAACUGGUUUAGCGGCACAAUCAAUAUCAAAAGCUACCAGAUUUGGGAAAUAAUUGGGGACAAAAUAAGUGCAGGGGUUUACCACCUCACUUGUGAAAAGAUCUGAAAAAUACCCCAUUGCAUGAUUUCGGAUUUCUUCCUCAUUAUAAAGCCAAUUUCCCGAACUGUCCUGGAUGGCUUCAAUUCUAUUCCGUCGCCUACGGACAAUAGUUUUUUGGUGGAAGAACCUAGUAUUUCUAUCCCCAUGCAUAAUCCAAUCCUUCCUUGAUUUUUGCCACCAAAGAAUCUCCUCCUGCCCCAUCACUGUCUCCAAUUCUUUCCGCAACUGUGCCUCUAAGCGCAUUAACCCCCUCGAACUAUAAUUCUCCAAGGCUGCUUGAAUUCCGUUAAUUCGAGCCAUUAAGACACGUUUCCGCUGAAAAAUAUUCCCAAAAACCGCUCGAUUCCAAACUUUAACCUCUUUGACAAAAUUGGAUGCCGCAUCGCUAUAAGAAGCUUUAGGAUCCCACGUCUGCUUAACAAAAUUAUUAAACUGAUCAUUUGUUAACCAAGAAGCCAAAAAUCGAAACGGUCUAUUAGCAUGAUGUCCCCGUACAAUUCUUCCAAAACGAACUAGAACCGGUCUGUGAUCCGAAGCAACUUUUGGCAGAUGGAGAACUGAGUUAUCUGUAAACUUUAAAAGCCACUCAUUAUUACAUAAGGUUCUAUCUAGCCUUUUAAGAAGAAAGCCACGAGACCGUCUGAAGCGAGGGCCUUUGAACUUUAAAUCAAAUAUUUGGUUGUCAUCAAACCACUGCCGAAACAAGCCACACCCUCUUGAUUGUCCUGCAGCUCCCCCAUGUUUCUCUGAUGCGUACAAUAUAGAGUUAAAGUCGCCACCAAUCAGCCAAGGUUCUUUAACAGAUAAAGCAAGGCUAUCCAAGUGAACUAUCAAACAUGGCAAUUGUUUCAUUGUUUAUGAUAAUUCUAAUAGUAAAUUUUAAUUUUACAGUACUAUAGAAGGACCAGACAAUGGACGUAAUUUGUGUGUUUCUCCAAUCCUGAAGAAGCCAAUAGAGCCAUAAGCACUUUGAAUGGCAUCCUGUUUCAUCAAAAGCCACUACACUUGGCCAUUGCUCAAACAAAGCAAGAAAGAAGUUCAUACCCCCAAAUGAUGUAUGCAAAGCAAGGGCCGGGAGUUGCUAGCACCAAUUUUCUUGUGUAUCCGACUCUUUAUCAACGUGCAUUACAAGUGUAUCAAGCACCAGACUUCAGACAUGGUGGCAUGAUUCCUAAUGGGUUUGUUCCGUCUCUUCCUCCUCUUCCUCUGUUUCGAAUGGUAAUGUACAAUCAAGUGUAGGCUAUGAUUGGAAUUGCUGACUUUGCGGUGAAUGAUUCAGAGUUUUUUUUCUUUUUUUUUUUAAAGGUAAGAGGGGGUGGGUAAGUCCAAAUACAAUUUUUUACUCCCUUACCAGUUACCACCCCCAAAAAUCGAGCCCAAAUUUUGAUAGAAGCUACAGUUGCACUGUAACCAAUCCGACCACGCCCUUGUGGGCCGACGAAUGAUUUAGAGUUACAGUCUCCUAAUUCUGUAAGGCAAACUGGAGAGGGAGGAUGAACGGGCAAGCUAAUUUUCCAAUGCCAUUUAUGCUAUCAAAUCUAUAGAGGCCUUUUUGCAAUUAUCCAAGCUAUCAGUAGUUUUUUUUUUUUUUAAAUUUCUGCUUGAUACUAAAUGAAUUGUAUUCCAUUUGCUUUUUGAAACAAAAUGCUUCUUAAUAACUGUUUAAUUCAUAUGACCAUUAUUGUAGAGGGCUGGGCAAACUGCUGCCAACAACCUGACAAAUGGGAGUCAAAGAGCUACUGCUUCCAAUGAUAAUCUUAUUUCUGCGAAAGGUCAACUUCAAUUUAUACCAGAUAGAAUAAUAAUCUUCAGUUGACCUUUCAAUUUAUUUCCAGUCGUUCAGAAGAUGAUGAUAGAUAAAAACUGCAUUGAUGAAUUCUUUUUGUCUUCUUAACAGUAAAAGGAGCUAAAUUGAUGUUUCAUAUAUUCGAGGUAAAUAGUAAAUUGUCAUUCUAGUAAAUUGAAAUUUAACUUUCUGCAAAUGUACUUGUAAUUUUCAGCUUUGGUUUAGUACUAUUUACAUGUAACUUUUGGGCAGUGUGAUCUUUCACCAAAGAUUACUCAGAUGCUUUUGGAAACGGAUCACUCCGAGCUGCUUGUGUUGUUGGAUAUAAAAGAUAAAAGGAAUAAUGAAAAGCUUCAACUUUAUUGAAUGGUUUUUCAUCAUUAUGCAUACACGAGGGAAGAAAAUUACAAAAGGAAAGCUUGACUAUAAACAAGCUAUAUUCUAAAAGUUAUUUACAUAAUAAUGAUUAAUAUACAAAUUAAAAAUUAAUAAGUUAAAGCCAAUAAUUAUGAAGACCAUAAUGAAAUAUAUUGGCGAUAAUCAUAGAGACUAUAAAGCGGAAGAAGCAAAGAAAGUAAUUCAGAAGCCACCGUCCAGGAGGAAUAAAGAGCAAUUGAAGGGGCAAAAAAGGAAGCAUGCACGGUUCAAUACUCUUAUGGACUGCGUAAUUGCUUUUGAAUUCAAUUCUUUCGUUCUUGCAAUAUUUGUUCAUCUAUUUAAGCAUCUUAAUUAAAACAACUGCAUGUACCCGGCUGUAUACACGCACCAUUUACCCAGUCAAACAAUUGAGGCAAAAUUUAAUUUCCUUUCUGACACCCAUUUUUUAAUUAUAAUUUUAUUAUCUUAAUUCAUUAAAUCUCAAAAAUCACCAAAAAAAAAAAAAAAAUCCUUGAUUAAUUAAUUCUUCUUUCCCUACGGUAACAAGGGUCAAAGCUUAAACCAAUUUCUCUUUCUUUCAAUUUUUCUUUUUCAUUCUCUCUCUCCAAACUUUAUCUUUUUCUUACUUUUCAUUAUAAUAUUAUCAUUUAUUGCCCAUUACUAUCAUUCAAAAUUUAUUCUGUCCAAGAUCUGACAAAGAAAAUUCUAACAAACUUAGAACGGUGUAAAAUAUCUUAUUUUUUUAUUUUUAGAUGAUUAACAUUGUCUCUUUCAACUUGCUUCAAAUUACAAUAGAGCUGAAUUUAUUAAUUUUUGAAUAAUUAUAAAAUAUAAUAUUUACUUCAUAUAUCAUAAUAAAUUUUGGUUAAAGGAAAGGGAUGGAGAGAGAGAGAAAAUAAGACUAAAUAUAUAAUUGAUCAAAUUUUAUUUUCAGAAUAAAAAUGUUAAUUUAAAAAAAAAAGGAGCAGUGCGAAAAUCAGUGGAUCCAAAUUAAAAAAUAACCCGACCUAUAGCAAAGUAAGAGCAUAAACAAAAACCUUUCUUUCGAAAUACAUAUGGAGUUCGUUUUGCAUUUAAAUUUACAAGGCAUUAACUGGGAGAAUAUGCAGCUUAUAGUUUUAAGCCAAGGGUGAUUAGUUUCUACCCUUGAUGCCUAAUUUGAAACUAUGGAAACCAUGACUAAAACAAGAGAGGCUGGAGCCUGCUUUCAGCAGUAAAACAUUACAUCUUUCACAUUAUCCUUGAUGACGGGAAGUGGCCGGAUAGCCAAAUUCCUAUCUGCUGUGCUCCUACUCCCACCUGUGGAUCCACCAGCAGAUGUUUCAUCCUCAAUAUAAUAUCGAGCCCGAAAAGCUGCUAAAUGUGCAUAAUAUGCUGGAGGCACUGCCAUAAGAAACCAACCAUUUUUAAAAAAUAAUAAUAAUAAGUCAAUGCUUGCCAGAACGAUAAAUAAUUCAUUGAUUCAAAAUGCUUUUAGCAAAACAACAGAAGUUCAAGGAUCAGACCUAUGGAAACUGAUCGAGUACACCUUGCGUACCUGAAAAUGGCAAUGAGUCAAAACUUACAAAAUAACCAUACGAAAGAUAAAUUCCUCAGCAAUGCAAUAUUAGAUCCAGUUAUAGAGAAGGUAAACAUAUUACGUGUAACACAAGUUAUUUGUUAACACUUGCAAGUCAUCUGCAGAAAAACGGUUCUCAUCGUACAACACAUGGUAGUGAAUUGGGCGACUGGUUCCCUGUAAUGAAUGCCUUAAUCAGUCCAACACUUUCAAAAUUAGGGGAAAAAAAGGAAGAAUAAGUGUACAUUGUUCAAUGAGAGUAAGUGUGGAUAGAUAAUAAAAUUUGGAUUGAAAAAGCAAACUUAUUUUUUACCCGAAUUCCUGCAUGGCUGUUGAGAUAAAAAUCGAAUUGUGUAGGGUGACAAAUUUGAGUAUCAACAACAGUUCCUAACACAAGAACAUCCCAAAAAUAUUCAUCAAAGACAAGGUUAAGCAGCAACAUGGUUCCCGGCCAUUGUGAAUACUCAAAAGAAGCAAAUAGAAAAUAACGAUGAAUAAUACAGAGCAAAUUUGGAACCUGGCAAAAUAUUUCCACUCCUAUCUGUCAGAUCGCGGUUGUUGUGCUCAGCAGGAAAAAGGCGAGUAUGAUGCCUUUUUUGUACCACAACAAACGUAACUGGUGGCGCAUAUCCCUCCUCAAGUGAGGCACAGGCCUGGAAAUAAGUCAAUUUAGCAUGUUG
rnacentral:lncRNA from 1 species